rnacentral:lncRNA from 1 species
AGAAAACGUAUAUAUACAUGUAUGAAUAAAGAUGUGUUUAAAAAGACCUAUUGGCAUUAUUUCACACUAGGACCUAAGAUAACUAGAACUAAGCAAUGGUUGAUCCAGAAAUUUUCAUAAGUGGGGACUCAUUGACUGCCUUAGAGUGUUCACGUCCAGUCAUGCUUCCGUGAUUCCCUAUAUAAUCUACCAUUUGUUUCCAAAGAUUUAGGAGGGGGGCUGGUACACACAUAUAUAUAUAAAUAUACCUCUGCGGCGGAGCCAGCCAUUUGAAAAGGAGGGGGUCUCAACCCAGGACAAAAGGGGGAGGGGGUGGUUCCAACCAUAUGUCCCCAUUCAAAUGCAUUGAUCGUUCAAAAAAAGGGGAGGUUCCAACCCCCGAAACCCUCCCCCUGGAUCCGCCACUGAUACCUAGUAUGCAUAUAAUUAAGAACAGCUUUGAAUAUAUGCAUAUAAAAUAAUGGUACGUUUAAAAACCGUUCAGGAUCUCCUGGUUGCACACAGG